rnacentral:lncRNA from 1 species
UAACUUGUCUAAUCUCAGAUCGAUGACCAUCGAUAUAUUAGAAUUACCGAUCGAUGCUCAUUCGGACUUUCACAAUUACUGACAUACGAUCGAUGUACUUUAUUCAUCAAUAUAUAGUCGGCUUACCAAAAACUGCCAGCGCAAAAAGCGCAUAAUAGUCAGAACAUGAUCAGUGGAGGAUAUAACCAUCCAUCCCACGAUUACAUA